CACUGACGGGCUUCGCCAACCGUCAGUUAUAAAAGCUCUGUUAAAUACAUUUUGUUCCUGGUUUUAAUGAAUUACGUUACAGUCCUGCUUUAUUUCUUUGUCAUUUUAAAUUAAAUUGCCAAGCACAAUAAGACAGCUGUGUUGUAAGGAGACGAAAUUCGAGAUAAAAUGGCCCCAAACAUCAUCAGGAGUGCAAAAGAAGGAAGUAAAAAACAUCUCUUCGCCAAUCUCAUUGGAGAGGAAACCACAGAAGGUCUGGUGAGGAAUGCUGCACUUAUGUUAUUGCAAGCAUUAUUUCAAGAAAAUCCCAGCUUCCUUGACUGUGUAAAUAGUGAACCCAAAGGUCCCACACCAACCAUAGUGUUCAACGGCUCUCCUGAUCUUCUCAAAUCUGAAAGUAUCAACUUUAUAAUGGACAAUGUGAACUUAAUAUGUGGAAGACAUUGACAUCACAGGCUGUGGAAUGACUGUGUCACAGGUCGCAGAAGCGAACCGCCCCUGUCGCGGAUCACGCUCCUCCUAGUUCCACCUCGAGGAGGUCCCAAAGCACCCCAAUGACCAGACAAACCAGAGAUAAGUAAAAUAUAGAAAUUGAAACUUUAUUUAAAUUAUUUAAAGCUAAAGUGGGGAAUGGGAAAGGGAAUGUAAAAAUCUCGCUUCUCGCCCUCAGGGGGAGUAUUACGGGGCCAGGGACGUUGGAGGGGUUUCCACGUGACUACAGCUGGAACACCCCUACAGAGCGUAUCUGGGUGGGUUGGGCACACACCAUCGCGGCAGCCCCUGAUGGCAUCCACAAAGGUCCAAGACGCUCCUAAGCUCCUAGCCGUAGCAGAACUACGUAUUUCAGCACCCGAAGGACUAACAACCCAGCCGGCAUCUGCAGCGUAUAUCCAACGCGAUCAAACUUCACUCUGACAAGUAACUUCCUAUACACAACCACGCCGUCCUUUCGCCCGGACCAGCCCCGCACUCUUUCCGCCCGCUACCUAGCGGUCGCCGGAUCAGCAGAGCCUGCGGACUCUUCGGAGGCUGGUCUUCGUUGUGCUGCCCAAGGCGGAAGUUGACUCGCCCGAAAAUCGACCCUUCCAGUAACUUCUACCUUCUCUCUUUAUAUCCUCCUCCACUCACACAGCUGUGCCUUGUUUCAGCGAGUGCGGGGAUUCCCGGGGAACCCGGAAGUGCCGGUAUCUGUACAAACCGGGCCGGGCGAAACCUCUUCACUCUCCUUUUGGUUCCGCCCCGCAUAGUCACUUCGUGACAACUGUUUGCGUUUUUUUUCUCCUCAAUGUUCAAUACCCUUUUGCCAUUAAGCACACAGUGACUUUAAUUUAUAAAAUAUAUGCUGAAGUUUUAAUACCUGUACAAAACAAAUGUACAAUCAACUUGUGUAAAUUGUCAUUCUAUUUAAUAGAUUGUUCAUGAAUUGUCUUUAAAUGCAUUGUGAUUUCGGUAACACUUUACAAUAAAGUUCAUUAGUUAACAUUAGUUAAUGUAUUAACUAACUUGAACAAACCAUAAGCAAUACAUUUGUUACAGAAUUUAUUCAUCUUUGUUAAUGUUAGUUAAUAACAAUUUAAGCUUUAAUUGCUUGUUCAUGUUAGUUCAGAGUGCAUUAACUAAUGUUAACAAGAUUUAAAUAAAGUAAUUGUUGAAAUUAACAUUAACAAAGGUUAAUAAAGGCUGUAUAAGUGCAGUU